AGUUGACACUCGAGUGAUAAACAACGAUCAGAUGUUUUGUUUUGAUUUUGAUUUUAUCUUAUAUGUGGUCAAUUUAUUAAAGUUCGAGACAUAAAAUUUGAACUAAAGAAAUCUCACGUUUUCUUCGAAGCAUAUUUUGACUUGUUGUUUAUAGUUAUUGUAAAAGAUGUUUGGAAGGUGAGCGAUUUUUAAUUUAUCAUUGAAUCAAAUCUUAUAGACAUAUUAAUUUUUAUUUAUCUUUACGAGAAAAGGUCAAUAAAAUUUGCAAUACCAGGAAUCUGGUCAUAACCGAAAGACCACAUACAUCAUGGAUGCACAUGACCUGACACGACCAGUACCUCAACCACCAAAAAAAUUAUCUCAAAAUAGUUCAUCUUCUAGUUCCAGCAGAAGUAAUCCUGAUGAGAAAUUUUUACCUAUACCAGAAAGUUAUCAAAAGCAAAGGUUAAAGCUUCUGUUUCCAAAGUUACCGAAUCGUAGUCAAAAAGCGAUCUGGAACAGUUUUAAAGCAGUCCUUUCUGAAUUUUCAGGAGAAACAAAGCUGAAAACUUCUAAAAGUUAGUUGAAGAUAUGCUACUAUAGGAUGUCAUUUAGAUAAAUUUAAAAACAAUAUGGGAGCCUAUUCAGAAGAGCAAGGAGAAAGUUUUCAUCAAGACAAUAUGAACUACGAACAGCGUUAUCAAGGCCAAUACAAUGGAAACAUGAUGGGAGACUAUAUCUGGGCUUUAUUGAGAGAAAGUACUUAUGAACUUAAAAGAAAAAGUAAAGUGUACACUUUAAAAGUAUUUUUCACUUUUCUGUAAGCUAUUUUGAUGGUAAAGCUAGAUAAAAACAAUUUUGUUGAUAAUGGUAAAUGCUCAUAAACAAUUUUUCAAUUAGUGUUUUCGUGGUUAAUGUGAUAAAAUAAGACUUUUCAGUUGAAUAUAUUGUUGAAAGAACGUACUAUUUCAGAGCUUUUUAUUAGUUUUUCCCCAGAUGAGUUAAUUUAACAUAUUAAUUCUGCUUUAAAACUUGUUGAGGUUAUGUCUAUUUUAUUUUUGUUGUUAAUCUCUGUCAUCUACUAAUAGUCAUGAGUUUUCGAGUAUAAAUAAAUUAAUUUUUAGGUUUUUAAGAUGUAGGACUGCUUUAGAAUGGGUAUGUGCUUUGUUUCAGACUGUAAACAUUACAGUUCAAAGCAUCCAUGCAAGUUUUUUCGGUUCCCAAAAAACAAGACCGAGAGGAAUAGAUGGAUUUCUCUCAUAAGAAGAAAAGUGAAUCCAAGUGAAUUUGCAAAAGUGUGCGAUUAUCACUUUUUAAAUAAAGAAAAAAAGAAUGGGCCAACUGUAUUUGAUUUCAAUAUUCAGAAGUUUAAUAUAAAAUCACCAGAAAAAAGUAAGCGAACUGUAAAAAACCUUGUGACCGAGAUACUACCAGGUCCUUCAACCAAACUACUGCCAGGGUCUUCAAAACGAGAUCAUGAAGUGACUUAAAUUAAACUUGAUGCUCACUACUGAGUCCAUCAUCUGCAUUUCAAGAUGCUGAGAAUUACUUUUUACGGCAGCAGGUGGUUGAAUUAACCGAGAAGCUGAGAAGAUUCAGCUAUGAAAUUGUGAAAAACAAAGGUGCUCAUGUACUAAUGUAUACUGGUAUUCCAACCAAUGAGCUGUUCAUGGUUCUUUUUGACCUAAUGGACAGCAUUAAAUUAAAAUAUUAUGCUGGAUGGAAUGUUCAGAUCGCUCCUAAAAUUGGUCAACUGUUUAUGACCUUAAUGAAGCUAAGGCUUAAUCUUCCACAUGAAAAUUUGAGUAUUAGAUUUAGUUGUAGUACAGCUACAGUGACCAAUAUUAUAAUGACGUGGAUCUAUGCUCUACAUGAAGUCAUUUUCAAUAAUUUGAUGAAAACUAUAUUAUCAAGACAACGGAAUCAAACCUGCCUCCAUAUUGCUUUUACAAAUUUUAAAAGUUGUAGGAUAAUUUUGGAUUGCACUGAAAUUUAUUCGGCAGUUCCAGCAAGCAUAGAAAACCAGAGAUUGACCUACAUUUCAUACAAACACCGAAACACAUGAAAAAUGUUGGUAGGUGUUGCACCAAAUGGUGUAAUCACCUUUGUUAGAAAGGCUUAUCCAGGGUCUACAUCUAAUAAAAAAAUUGUUGAAGAGAGUAAGGUUCUAGAUCAGAUGGUAGCUAGAGAUUUGAUAUUAGCAGAUAAAGGUUUCUUGAUUAAAGAACUUCUCCCUGCAAGAGUAUCAUUAAAUAUACCUCCAUUUUUAAGUAACAAUACCACAGUUUACAGAAUCCCAAGUAUAUGAAACUCAGCAAAUUGCAAAGGCUAGAAUUCAUGUCGAACGGGCCAUCAGGAGAAUAAAGUGCUAUAAUAUUUUGUAGCAAGUUCCAUCAUAUUACAUAUCACAAAUUUCAAUUAUUUUUCAACUAUGUGCAGCUCUGACAAACUUGCAAUAUCCCCCAAUUAAAGAAGUUGAGGAGUGUUAUUGGUAGGAUCUAUAUUGUAGGUUAUGCCGUUUAAUGUGAACUGAAUUGUUUAACCAUAUGGAGUGGAGCCAAAGUACAGACAUAUUGAAAUUUUGAGUUUUAAAUAUUUUUUAUUGUAGCAAUAUAUUUCCUUAUUCGACUUUUUUUGUAAAAAAUUUAGAAAUUUUUAUUUAAAAAAUGUAUAUUUAGAAUUCACUUAAUUUAUAAAUGAAUUGAUCUAAUACAAUUAUUGUUAAAAGUAAUAAUAAUACUGUUUUUCUAAUUUAAUAAAAGCCUGCAAAUCCAACAAUUUUCAUAAAGUAAACAAAAACAAUUUGAUUUAUUGUCAGUAGACUACAGUCUUUACAAUCUUGAAAUAAAUUAUUAAGCCACAA